AAGACCUUGCGCUUUUGGAGCGGCCGAUGUCUGAUUAGUUUGUUGGUGAGGUAAAGGCUUACCAAGGCUUCGAUCAGUAGCUGGUCUGAGAGGACGGCCAGCCACACUGGGACUGAGACACGGCCCAGACUCCUACGGGAGGCAGCAGUGGGGAAUUUUGGACAAUGGGGGCAACCCUGAUCCAGCCAUGCCGCGUGAGUGAAGAAGGCCUUCGGGUUGUAAAGCUCUUUCAGCCGGAACGAAACGGUUACGGUUAAUACCCGUGACUACUGACGGUACCGGAAGAAGAAGCACCGGCUAACUACGUGCCAGCAGCCGCGGUAAUACGUAGGGUGCAAGCGUUAAUCGGAAUUACUGGGCGUAAAGCGUGCGCAGGUGGUUUUGUAAGUCAGAUGUGAAAUCCCCGGGCUUAACCUGGGAACU
rnacentral:rRNA from 1 species